AGCUAUUGAACUUUCUAGUUGACGGUGUCUUUUCCCCCCAGUAAAGAAUGUGUCUUUACAGCUAAAGGUAACAUUAAGUUCAGAAUCGAAGCCACAGAGUACAAGGGAUUGAUUUGCAGCAAAGCUGAUAACCCUCCAUUUUGGAAUGAAGCAUGGACAGAAAGAAGGAAUAUCUUCCUCGAGAACUUGGAAGCCAUCACUAUCAUCAAGAAAGAUAGUUCCCUAUUUCCCAGUCUCUAUGGGAAAGUAGGAGCAUAACUUCAAUAAGAGACAACCAGAAAACAUGGAUACCCUGAUCAUGUUGACCAACCUCCUCCAGCAUCUUCCUGUGCUUCUCUACUAGUUCAUCCCAGUGUUUAUAAACUUUUCUGUCUUUCAGGUUAAUGGAAUUGAGUUCAAUCUCUCUCCCCUAUUACAAUAGCCUGUCUUUACCAUUGCAAUAAUUUUGAGUAAAGUAUUUUCUUUUUAGCUUGUCUGAUGUAAUUUUUAUUUUGCAAUACAUAUCCAG
rnacentral:lncRNA from 1 species